AGGAGCCGUGUGAUGGGAAACUAUCAAGCACGGUUUGGAAGUGGAGUUGGGGAAGGUGACUUCCCUUUCGACCAUAAC
rfam:Arthrospira platensis NIES-39 DNA, nearly complete genome.